rnacentral:rRNA from 1 species
AUUGAACGCUAGCGGGAUGCCUUACACAUGCAAGUCGAACGGAGUGGCGAACGGGUGAGGAAUGUAUCGGAACGUGCCCAGUAGCGGGGGAUAACUACGCGAAAGCGUAGCUAAUACCGCAUACUAUUGGAGCGGCCGAUAACGGAUUAGCUAGUUGGGGGGGGAACGGCUCACCAAGGCGACGAUCCAGAGCGGGUUUGAGAGGACGACCACCCACACGUGGACUGAGACCCGGCCCAGACUCCUACGGGAGGCAGCCGUGGGGAAUUUUGGCCAAAGGGGGAAACCCUGAUCCAGCCAUCCCGCGUGUGCCAUGAAGGCCUUCGGGUUGUAAAGCACUUUUGGCAGGAAAGCGGUACCUGCAGAAUAAGCACCGGCUAACUACGUGCCAGCAGCCGCGGUAAUAC